rnacentral:rRNA from 2 species
UGACCUCGAAUCAGGUAGGAAUACCCGCUGAACUUAAGCAUAUCA